CAUACAAAUCUCCACCGCGCCUCUCAUUUUUCCAUCACAACCGUCUAUGACUAUCUGUCUGUUUCUUCCUCUCACGCCGCUAUCAAUUGCUUAAAGAUAGAGAGUUGCCAUGGCGAUACCAUCUUGAUGCGAAGGCUCGUCAUAUGAAGAUUAUAUCAGAAGGAUAGAGUAUCGGUGUUCGGAACAACCCAUUUAAACAACAAUGGUACACGUGACAUGGAUCCACAAGUCUAUCGCAAACGGUACAAAUUUGUAAGUUUUCCUUCCAGAGUGGGAGUUUAAAUCUUUGCCCCAAUACAUGUUGAAUCCAUUGUGAUGCUAUACAUCGUAUUUAAAUGUAUUAGGACUGGAAUGCACAUCUUAAUUUUGAACUUCAUUUGCCAAUCUUGUUCUGAGGUCCUUCCGCAGGAUCUUGCCAGAUGGUGCCUUAGGUAUUGCAUCUAUGAAGAAUACUUUGUUUAUUCUUU